rnacentral:lncRNA from 10 species
CUCCUUCUCCCCGACUCCUCCUCCUUCACCUCCUCCUUGUCCUCCUCCCUCUCCUCCUCCUCCUCCUUGUCUUCUUCUUCCUCCUCCUCAUCCCCCUCUUCCUCUUCCUAAUUCUCCUCCUCUGCCUCCUCCUUGUCCUCUCCCUCCCCCUUGUCCUCCUCGUCUUCCUUUUCUUCCUCCUCUUCUGUCCCAGGGCUUUCAAACUCUGGCUCUCCAACGACAUGGAAGAGUUAAAAGGAGGAACGCCGGCUCAGCCAAGCCCCGGAGACUCCUACUUGAUAUGGGCAGUUUAAAGCCACUUUCCCUUUAAAUUUUUCUGUGACAACUCUUUUCAUGGAGAAUGGAAAGACUCUCGUUAAGUGUUGCCGUUCAGAAGUGUUGGUGGUCGUUGCUAACAUGAGAUCCAACAAGAAAUGGUGAAAAUGCACAAUGCCUCAGGACGCCUUGAGGAAGGAGCAGCGUGUUGCUGCUGAGGGUGAACACACGUGGUCUCUGAGGAGAGGCGACAGAUCUCCCUGGGCGUCAGUCAUCCUGGGACUGGGUGUCGUGGAAGAAGGUGACACCAGGCAGAAACCAAGAGCAGGGGAGCUGCAGGCCGGUAUCAGAGCCCGUAUCAGAGCAGAGUGGCCCCUGAGCGGGGAGGCAGCUGGAGCUCACUGUUGGAGGAGGGCCCGGCACCUGCACCUGAGGACAUGAGUCUGAGGCCUGCGGAGAAGCCAGGUGAGACACCGCUGUGCUUCUCUGGGCCACGGCCCCUCACGGCUGCAUCCAGUCACCAGAGUUCCUCUGUGCCUCACCCACCCUUGAUCAUAGAAGACAGCCUGCAUGUCCUCAGCUCUGUCCUCCAACCGGCUGCCCGGGAGGCCUCCCUGGCUGCUCCCCAAACUGCACGUGCCCUGAGUCAGCCCUGGGGCCUCAUGGACUCCCCUGUUCACGCAUCCCGGCAGCGCGCAAACCAUCCCUGUCGGCUCCCAGUGAAAUGCUACAGGAUCUCAGGGCAGCUGCACCCCGCAGGUUCAGAAGGGAUGGGAUUCUGUGUCCUUUUCCUUCUUGCUUCAGACCUUCACCUGGGGCUCUAACACCGAAAGUCUGUGCCAGACAGAGGCAUCCACAGCGACAGGAGCCUGGGCCAGGGCGGCCAUCCCUGCUGCAGAGACAAAUGUCAGUGUCCAUGGAAUCAGUUCGGUGCGGUGAGCGGCAGGUCUGAUAUGAAAGCUACUCGCACUUCCCGUCUGGGCAAGAGCAGGAACUCGGCAGGCAGAGAGCUGGUGGAGCUUUCCAUGGGAAAACCAGAACCUUCAAAGAGCCCGGCCUCCCUCUGAUCAGCCCCUUCUUUCUGAUCAGAUGCAUUAUUGACGAGGCAGCCUCCUCCACCUGCCUCUCAUCAGAGCAGCUCGUUUCCCACCGUGGUAAUUUAUACUUGUGAUUUUGGCCUUGAUCAAUAAAGGCAACGGAGAAGACGCACCCGUUCAUUUCCUACAGGAGGGGCGGAAACACACAGGCCUCUGUGCAGAGCUUUCCUGGGCUCUUCUGAAGGCAAGCAAACCCAUCAAAGGGAAGAUCUGCACGCUGAAAGGCAGAGCAAUGUCUGGUUCCUGCUGUUUCUUCUGAUGGGCGCGGCGGUGACUGAGGGUGUCCUGCGAGCCGUCGGUGAGCGCUCAGCUGUCCUGGUCUGCAAGUUCCUACUGACAUCACAACCUGCUGCUUCUCUCUGUCCUUAAGGGUCAGAAGAUGGAGAAAAGGUUCAUGUUUCCACCCCUGUAUUCUGUUAGGUUCGGGUUUUUGAGAGAGGCUUGUGGGGAAGGGGCCGUGUCCCCACUCCUUCCUUUCUUCUUGUACACAUAUUUACAUCCACUGAUUGAGUGAUUUACAAUCACUCAACAUGAUUGACGGAACUUCUGGCACUGCGGAAGCUGUGCUAAGGCCUGGGCAUUCAUGGGACAUGGAGCGUGCAAGAGCUGAAGUUUUAAUGACUUGCUUGCAGAAAAAGAUCAAGUUUUACAACAGAAAAUUAUGGGGCAUAAUUUCUAUUGUGGCAAGGGACCAGGGCCGUCUCCUGGAGGAAAUCUGGAGAGAACAUGCCACAGCCAGGCCGGCGUAGAGAGAGGCUCUGGCAGGGGCCCCUCCCAACCCACCCCUGCAUGCGUGGGGCUUCUGCUCAGCAACAGGGGCGCAGCUCCACUUUCAAAGUGUGAGGGGCAGGGGCUCAGGUCUCGGAUGCCUUCACCACCUGCCUGAGUCGGGCAUCGGGCAGGGAGCGUGCGGGGGCCUCUGCCUCUGCUGG